rnacentral:rRNA from 1 species
AGCUUACCAUGCAGUCGACGAUGAAGCCCAGCUUGCUGGGUGGAUUAGUGGCGAACGGGUGAGUAACACGUGAGCAACCUGCCCCUGACUCUGGGAUAAGCGCUGGAAACGGCGUCUAAUACUGGAUAUGUCCCGUCACCGCAUGGUGUGCGGGUGGAAAGAUUUUUCGGUUGGGGAUGGGCUCGCGGCCUAUCAGCUUGUUGGUGAGGUAAUGGCUCACCAAGGCGUCGACGGGUAGCCGGCCUGAGAGGGUGACCGGCCACACUGGGACUGAGACACGGCCCAGACUCCUACGGGAGGCAGCAGUGGGGAAUAUUGCACAAUGGGCGGAAGCCUGAUGCAGCAACGCCGCGUGAGGGAUGACGGCCUUCGGGUUGUAAACCUCUUUUAGCAGGGAAGAAGCGAGAGUGACGGUACCUGCAGAAAAAGCACCGGCUAACUACGUGCCAGCAGCCGCGGUAAUACGUAGGGUGCAAGCGUUAUCCGGAAUUAUUGGGCGUAAAGAGCUCGUAGGCGGUCUGUCGCGUCUGCUGUGAAAUCCCGAGGCUCAACCUCGGGCUUGCAGUGGGUACGGGCAGACUAGAGUGCGGUAGGGGAGAUUGGAAUUCCUGGUGUAGCGGUGGAAUGCGCAGAUAUCAGGAGGAACACCGAUGGCGAAGGCAGAUCUCUGGGCCGUAACUGACGCUGAGGAGCGAAAGGGUGGGGAGCAAACAGGCUUAGAUACCCUGGUAGUCCACCCCGUAAACGUUGGGAACUAGUUGUGGGGUCCUUUCCACGGAUUCCGUGACGCAGCUAACGCAUUAAGUUCCCCGCCUGGGGAGUACGGCCGCAAGGCUAAAACUCAAAGGAAUUGACGGGGACCCGCACAAGCGGCGGAGCAUGCGGAUUAAUUCGAUGCAACGCGAAGAACCUUACCAAGGCUUGACAUACACGAGAAC